rnacentral:lncRNA from 1 species
UAAAAGCUACAAUAAUUUUACUGAUGAAAAAUUUGUAUAAUACAUUACAGUUCAGAAAGAUAGGAAUGAUUGUGAAAAUAAUUUUCAUCUAUAAUAUAACAAUAUAGUCAGUAGAAAUUCAUUUAAUGUUUACAUGUAGAUAUAGGAGAUACUUACACACAUGAGUCAUAUAAGCCCCAACUAUUAGGAAAAACAGAGAAAAGGAAGAAAACUUAGUCAUUUUAAAGAUUUAGAUUUAAGAAGCCCAGAUGAAAUGUGUUGAUCCUGUGAUGAAGGAAGAAGAUUCUGAAGACUGAGUUUUGUUCUUGUAAGUUUUGACUUUCUCACCACAGGUGCUCUAGGGGUAAGAUUUUUUUUCACACCUAGGUGUAAACGUUAUGUAUCAGUUUGGGGACUUUCAGGUCUGUGCUUUUAGCACUUUUUUGUUUUGUUUUGUUUUGAGACGGAGUCUCUCUCUGUCGCCCAGGCUGGAGUGCAGUGGCGCGAUCUCGGCUCACUGCAAGCUCUGCCUCCUGGGUUCACGCCAUUCUCCUGCCUCAGCCUCCCGAGUAGCUGGGACUACAGGCGCCCACCACCACAUCCGGCUAAUUGCUUUUAGCACUUUUUUGGGAGAGGUGUGUGGCAACAGUAAAGCUUUCUACAUGUUAAACAGAAUGAACAAAACCAACGCAGAGCAGUGACUUCCUGUCAGAGCAGAAGGAGACCCUUAUAGAACAGCUGUGCCACUGCUCCAAAGGCCUCGUGUGGUUCUAUCCCUUGGACUGCCUUUCUUCAACAGCCCAGACACCUGCUCUGUCAGAUUUAUAAGCCACACCCCCUAGAGCCAUGCCAAUCAAAGCAUGGCCCGCAGACCUGUGCCAGUCUCCGAACCUCUUUGUUACCGAUUUGGAGCAAGAUGGGGACAGAAAUUGAGAGCCAGAGUU